ACUUGAGUGCAGAAGAGGACAGUGGCUCCAUGUGUAGCGGUGAAAUGCGUAGAUAUAUGGAAGAACACCAGUGGCGAAGGCGGCUGUCUGGUCUGCAACUGACGCUGAGGCUCGAAAGCAUGGGUAGCGAACAGGAUUAGAUACCCUGGUAGUCCAUGCCGUAAACGAUGAUUACUAAGUGUUGGAGGGUUUCCGCCCUUCAGUGCUGCAGCUAACGCAUUAAGUAAUCCGCCUGGGGAGUACGACCGCAAGGUUGAAACUCAAAAGAAUUGACGGGGGCCCGCACAAGCGGUGGAGCAUGUGGUUUAAUUCGAAGCUACGCGAAGAACCUUACCAGGUCUUGACAUCUUCUGACAGUCUAAGAGAUUAGAGGUUCCCUUCGGGGACAGAAUGACAGGUGGUGCAUGGUUGUCGUCAGCUCGUGUCGUGAGAUGUUGGGUUAAGUCCCGCAACGAGCGCAACCCUUAUUACUAGUUGCCAGCAUUAAGUUGGGCACUCUAGUGAGACUGCCGGUGACAAACCGGAGGAAGGUGGGGACGACGUCAAAUCAUCAUGCCCCUUAUGACCUGGGCUACACACGUGCUACAAUGGAUGGUACAACGAGUCGCGAGACCGCGAGGUUAAGCUAAUCUCUUAAAACCAUUCUCAGUUCGGACUGUAGGCUGCAACUCGCCUACACGAAGUCGGAAUCGCUAGUAAUCGCGGAUCAGCAUGCCGCGGUGAAUACGUUCCCGGGCCUUGUACACACCGCCCGUCACACCAUGAGAGUUUGUAACACCCAAAGCCGGUGGGGUAACCUUUUAGGAGCUAGCCGUCUAAGGGACAGA
rnacentral:rRNA from 1 species